rnacentral:rRNA from 1 species
GCCAGACUCCUACGGGAGGCAGCAGUGGGGAAUAUUGCACAAUGGGGGGAACCCUGAUGCAGCGAUGCCGCGUGGAGGAAGAAGGUUUUCGGAUUGUAAACUCCUUUUAUCAGGGACGAUAAUGACGGUACCUGAAGAAAAAGCUCCGGCUAACUACGUGCCAGCAGCCGCGGUAAUACGUAGGGAGCGAGCGUUGUCCGGAAUUACUGGGUGUAAAGGGAGCGUAGGCGGGACGGCAAGUCAGAUGUGAAAACUGGGGGCUCAACUUUCAGACUGCAUUUGAAACUGCUGUUCUUGAGUGAAGUAGAGGUAAGCGGAAUUCCUAGUGUAGCGGUGAAAUGCGUAGAUAUUAGGAGGAACACCAGUGGCGAAGGCGGCUUACUGGACUGUAACUGACGUUGAGGCUCGAAAGCGUGGGGAGCAAACAGGAUUAGAUACCCCAGUA